CUAUCUGGGGGUGACCAGGUCACGAUUAGCGGAAAGAUAGGUUUUCCCUUGCGCUAGGUUCACCAGGGGUGCCAUGGUGUUUUUAAGUUGUGUUUUGGGAUUGAGGGUUAAAUUCCGCAAAGAGGCCCACCCUUGUUUUUUGUUAGCAGCCAAUUUUUAGUGGGUACUCUGAGAGAACGCCGGGGUUAACUGGGAGGAAGGUGGGGAAGAGGUCAAAUCAUCCUGCCCCUAUGUCCAGGGCUUCACACCUGCUACAAAGGUGGGUACAGGGAGUUACCACACCGGAGGGGGAGCUAAUCUCUUAAAACCGGCUCCCGUUUGGAUUGGGGUCUGCAACUCGGCCCCCUGAAGUCGGAGUCGGUUGUUAAUGCAGAACCAGAAUGCGGCCCCAAUUGCUCCA
rnacentral:rRNA from 1 species